rnacentral:lncRNA from 1 species
UUGGUCUAUGGUUAGAUUGAUAUCAAGGUAAUGUGCAAGGUGGAUACUAAUCUGAUCAUUUGUAGGCAAUGUCCCAUAUUAUUUAUCAAUCUAACUAUAGACCAGUGCCAGCUUGGGACCUCCGUGUGCAGGGGGCCCUUCUGCCAACCAGUGUUCGUCCCAAAUUGGUCGACGGACCCCUUCUCCUGUAGGGCCUCGGCCUUCAGCUUUUAUUUUGAGAGAGCUUAUACAUAUUCGACAUCCCCUCGAGAGUAUCCCACCUUGACGAGUUCAGGGGGCUUACCGGCUGUCACUAUGCCUGUAUCUGUCCGGGC